rnacentral:rRNA from 1 species
UACGAAGGGGGCUAGCGUUGUUCGGAUUUACUGGGCGUAAAGCGCACGUAGGCGGAUCUUUAAGUCAGAGGUGAAAUCCCAAGGCUCAACCUUGGAACUGCCUUUGAUACUGGGGAUCUUGAGUCCGGGAGAGGUGAGUCGGAACUGCGAGUGUAGAGGUGAAAUCGUAGAUAUUCGCAAGAACACCAGUCGGCGAAGGCGGCAUCAGCUGGCCC